GCGUGAAGUAUCGCUGCCUACUGAAAAGGACUAUUUCAUUUAAAGAAGGACGUGUCGAUGCGUUCAGGAUCCACCGCAGAAGGCAGAGCUCAAUGGAACGCGGCAAGAAUUAUCUUUGGAACAAUCCAGAUAAUAGGACUGAACUUUAAUCUGAUAGCGGGCGAUAUGACGACAUAAAGGAACAGAGAAUACUUCAAAAUGGAAAAGCGAGCUCUUUACAUAAAAAAGUUCAUUCCUUUGACAUAAUAAAGUGCAAUCAAAACCAGAGUGCUACGAUUGAGAUCUAAAAUUUUAAAAUAGGCAAAAGUGCAACGGUAAAAUGGAUUCUGAUCAGAUUAAGCAAUUUAUUUAUUCAUAGGCACUCCACAUUGAAGUACUUAAGCAGACACGUGUAUCAAUGAUUAGGAUUAUGGUAAUGUUAUACGGUUGGGGUAGCACAGAUUAGAUUCAUCAGACAGCCGAUAUGUACAAGUAAAAAGAUUUGCUUCAACUUUUUGGUGGGGAACGCGAGGAUCGACGUUUCUACAAUAAAUCAAUAAUAUCCUCACAUUCGCUCCAAA